rnacentral:rRNA from 1 species
ACGUAGGGGGCAAUCUUUUUCCUUAAUUACUGGGCGUAAAGGGUGCGUAGGUGGCCUUUUAAGUCGGAUGUGAAAUCCCCGAGCUUAACUUGGGUGGUGCAUCUAAUACUGGAGGGCUAGAGUGCAGGAGAGGAAAGCGGAAUUCCUAGUGUAGCGGUGAAAUGCGUAGAUAUUAGGAGGAACACCAGUGGCGAAGGCGGCUUUCUGGACUGUAACUGACACUGAGGCACGAAAGCGUGGGGAGCAAACAG